GGCUUGGUAGCGUAGUGGCAACACGCUCCGUGGAUCUAUAGCAUUUAUAUAUCGGUUGAUGGAAAGUCCGGAGUUCAAUUCUCUGUCAAGCCA